UCUUGGGCAAUGGGCGAAAGCCUGACCCAGCGACGCCGCGUGGAGGAAGAAGGCCUUCGGGUCGUAAACUCCUGUUCGGGGAGAAGAACAGGAGGGAAGUGAAUAACUUCUCUCCCUGACGGUAUCCCCGGAGAAAGCUCCGGCUAAUUACGUGCCAGCAGCCGCGGUAAUACGUAAGGAGCGAGCGUUGUCCGGAUUUACUGGGCGUAAAGAGCUCGUAGGUGGUUUCUUAGGUCUCACGUGAAAUUCCCUGGCUCAACUGGGGAGGGUCGUGGGAAACCGAGAAGCUAGAGGGCAGGAGAGGAGAGUGGAAUUCCCGGUGUAGCGGUGAAAUGCGUAGAGAUCGGGAGGAACACCAGUGGUGAAGACGGCUCUCUGGACUGUCCCUGACACUGAGGAGCGAAAGCCAGGGGAGCGUACCGG
rnacentral:rRNA from 1 species